AGAGACAGCAGUAGCCGCGGUAAUACGAAGGGUGCAAGCGUUACUCGGAAUUACUGGGCGUAAAGCGUGCGUAGGUGGUGGUUUAAGUCCGUUGUGAAAGCCCUGGGCUCAACCUGGGAAUUGCAGUGGAUACUGGGUCACUAGAGUGUGGUAGAGGAUAGUGGAAUUUCCGGUGUAGCAGUGAAAUGCGUAGAGAUCGGAAGGAACAUCUGUGGCGAAGGCGACUAUCUGGGCCAACACUGACGCUGAGGCACGAAAGCGUGGGGAGCAAACAGGAUUAGAUACCCGGGUAGUCCCUGUCUCUUAUAC
rnacentral:rRNA from 1 species